rnacentral:tRNA from 1 species
GGCGCCGUCGUCUAGUCUGGUCCAGGACGCUUGGUUUUCAUCCAAGAAAUCACGGGUUCGA